AUUGAACGCUGGCGGCAGGCCUAACACAUGCAAGUCGAGCGGAUGAAGGGAGCUUGCUCCUGGAUUCAGCGUCGGACGGGUGUGUAAUGCCUAGGAAUCUGCCUGGUAGUUGGGGAUAACGUCCGGAAACGGGCGCUAAUACCGCAUACGUCCUGAGGGAGAAAGUGGGGGUUCUUCGGACCUCACGCUAUCAGAUGAUCCUAGGUCGGAUUAGCUAGUUGGUGGGGUAAAGGCCUACCAAGGCGACGAUCCGUAACUGGUCUGAGAGGAUGAUCAGUCACACUGGAACGGAGACACGGACCAGAGUACUACGGGAGGAAGCAGUGGGGAAUAUUGGACAAUGGGCGAAAGCAUGAUACAGCAAUGCCGAGUGUGUGAAGAAGGUAUUAGGAUUGUAAAGCACUUUAAGUUGGGAGGAAGGGAAGUAAGUUAAUAACUUGCUGUUUUGACGUUACCAAAAGAAUAAGCACCGGCUAACUUCGUG
rnacentral:rRNA from 1 species